rfam:Delta proteobacterium MLS_D scaffold_11, whole genome shotgun sequence.
AAUCCCCUGCGGUGUACGUGAUUGACUGUUUUUUUUUGAUCCAACAGCCAUAUGCAAGGAAGCCCUUCUUUUUCCGUGGUGAGCAGGUCUUCCCCGUUCCUUCCGGAACGGACGGAAGAUAGCCUUAAGCGGAAAACAGGGCGUCCACCUUUGUAUACGGUUCAAAAAGAUAGUUAACACGGCAUCAGCGGGGGAUUA